rnacentral:RNase_P_RNA from 1 species
UAGGUACAUCAGACAAUAGCUUGUUAACUCAAGAGGAAAGUCUGGGCUGCAGUGAAGUAUGGUUCCAUUUAAAGAAUGGCUAGAGUAAUCUAAGGGAUAGUGCAACAGAGAGUAGACCGCCUAUUUAUAUAGGUAAGGGUGAAACGGUAGAGUAAGAGCCUACCAGCAUUUUGAGCAAUCUUAAUGGCUAUGUAAACCCAACCAGCAGCAAGAAGAACGUGGUAAUAAACUUCACAUUUUUGUUCUUUGCAUGAUUGUUAAAGUAAUUUAACAACUAGAUAAAUUAUUGUCAAAUACAUAACCCAGCUUACAGAUGUACCUAUUCU